UGGACUCGUAGUAUAGUCUGGAUAGAAUAGAGGCCUCCGGAGCCUCGGGCCCGGGUUCGAAUCCCGGCGGGUCCGU
rnacentral:tRNA from 1 species